rnacentral:rRNA from 1 species
AGAUUGAACGCUGGCGGCAGGCCUAACACAUGCAAGUCGAGCGGCAGCACGGGUACUUGUACCUGGUGGCGAGCGGCGGACGGGUGAGUAAUGCCUAGGAAUCUGCCUGAUAGUGGGGGAUAACGUUCGGAAACGGACGCUAAUACCGCAUACGUCCUACGGGAGAAAGUGGGGGAUCUUCGGACCUCACGCUAUCAGAUGAGCCUAGGUCGGAUUAGCUAGUUGGUAGGGUAAAGGCCUACCAAGGCUACGAUCCGUAACUGGUCUGAGAGGAUGAUCAGUCACACUGGAACUGAGACACGGUCCAGACUCCUACGGGGAGCAGCAGUGGGGAAUAUUGGACAAGU